rnacentral:rRNA from 1 species
GGUGACCUCGUGGGAAGUCCUCGUGUUGCACCCUUU